rnacentral:tRNA from 1 species
UAGUCCGAUAAAUCUUUUUAUUUUGAAGAAUUUUUUAAUC